rnacentral:lncRNA from 10 species
AGCAUCAGAAGAAUGCCCUCUCAGGGGGAAGCAAUUGUUUUCGCGUAUAAUUUCGACACAUUUGCCAUUAUGGCAGCGCAGUCGCGAGAUGCUUUUGCUUUAUUACUUUUUUUUAUAAUGGAGGGAGGGUCCCGCCCAGUGUCUAGGGUUCAGGGCCCGCGGCCUCCACGAUCCGGGUACGACCACAGGCGGGUGCCCACCCAACUCCAUCCUGGCCUUCUUCGCCUCACUUCCAGGGGCUGCAGGGGACACCGAGCUCCUUUUCCUCUCAAAGGUGCAACAAAAACCCAGCGAGCACUGCUGCGUGCCCGGCGCUGCUAGGGACAUCAGGAGAGGGCAGAAGCCUGUGCUCCCGGAGUCGCCUUUCAGCAGGGACGCGGUCAGCAAACCCACGGCGCUCUCCUGUGCUGGGAGAGACGAGGGCAGGAGAUGGGGCGGGCGAGGGGCGGGAGGAAUGGGGGCGGGCGAGGGGGAUGGGGGCGGGUGAGGAGUGACGGGGGUGGGGGCGGGUGAGAGGUGAGGGGGGUGGGGGCGGGCCAGGGAGAUAGGGGAGGGUGAGGGGUGAGGGAAGCGGGUGAGGGGAGUGGGGCGGGUGACGGGGAUGGGGGCGAGUGAGGGGUGAGCGGGUGGAGGCGGGGCUUGCGUCGGUGGCCUCACCAGAAGGGACUGUGCGGGGACCUGGAGGAGGGGACAGAGGGAGGUUGGGGAGACUGGGAAGAUCUUCCAGGCAGAGGGAACCUCACCGGCGGCUGUCAGGAGGAGGGAGGGGAGAGGGCUGGGUGAUGAGGUCAGCAAGGGGCAGGGGGUGGAGGAUGGGGGGCGACGGGGCGGGGCCUGGCAGCCCAGGACGGUUUUGGAGCUCGGGGAAGGUCUGAGCGGAGGGGCAGGGGCAGCGGUUGGAAGGCUGCAGGCUGGCGGGGAGGGAGAGGGGGACAGGAAGCCCAGCAGUGGCGGGGCAUGCAUCCUCUCCCUUCCACCCCCUCUUUCGGACCCCCUCUCUCCUAGGCUCCCCCACUCAGCUCCCACAGAUCCUCUUGCCCCAGGUCCUUCCUCUGUGUGCGGCAGAGGGAAGGACCAUGCGUGGACAUGGGCGGGAGGAUCAUUUGAGCCCAGGAGUUCAAGACCAGCCUGGGCAACAUAGUGAGACCUCAUCUCCACAAAAAUAAAAGAUUAGCUGGGUGUGGUGGCGCGUGCCUGUAAUCCCAGCUACUCGGGAGGCUGAGGCAGGAAGAUUGCUUGAGCCCAGGAGUUCAAGGCUACAGUGAGCUAUGAUAGUGCCCCUGAACUCCAGCCUGGGUGGCAAAGCAAGACCCUGUCUCAAAAUAAAAUAAUAAAAUAAAAUAAAUCACACAUAUUUGAAGUAUACAAUUUGAUGAGUUUUGAAUAUAGAUGUAUAUUCUGUGACUCCAUCACCACAGUAAGAUAAUGACCAUUUCCGUCACUCCCAAAAGUGUGCCCCUGGCGGGGCCCGGUGGCUCACGCCUGUAAUCCCAGCACUUUGGGAGGCUGAGGCAGAUGGAUCACCUGAGGUCAGGAGUUUGAAACCGGCCUGACCAAACAUGGCGAAAACCCGUCUCUACUAAAAAUACAAAAAUUAGCUGGUGUGGUGGCAGGUGCCUGUAAUCCCAGCUACUUCGGAGACUGAGGCAGGAAAAUCGCUUGAACGCCGGACGCAGAGGUUGCAGUGAGCCGAGAUCGCACCACUGCACUCCAGCCUGUGUGACAGAGUGAGACUCCGUCUCAAAAAAAAAAAAAAAGAAAAGAAAAGAAAAAGAAAAAGUAUGUCCUUGUCCCUUUGUAAUCCAUUCCCUCUUCAUCCCCCCUCCCCUCUCCUCCACCCCACCCCCAUCCCACCCCCAAGCAACCACUGGUCUGCUUCUGUCACUAUAGAUGAGACUGAGAUUUUCAGAAUUUCAUGUAAGUGGAAUCAUAACAUGUGUUCUUUUUUGGUCUGGCUUCUUUCACUCAGCAUAACUAUUUUGGGGUUCAUCCAUUUUCUUAGAUGCCAUUAAUAGUUCAUUCCUUUUUAUUGCCGAGUAGUAUCCAAUUGUAGGAUAUGCAACUGGAUAUGCAGUUAGCUGAUCCGUUCACCUGUUAAUGGGCGCUUUUAAAAUUUUAGCUCUAAAGCUGCUAUGAACCUUCCUGUUCAAGUCUCCAUGUGGACAUGUGCUCUCAUUUCAGUUGGAUAAAUACCUAAGAGUACAAUGGCUGGGCCAUGUGGCAGGCAUGUGUUCAACUUUUUAAGAAACUGUCAAAUUGUCUUUCAGUGGAUAUCCAUUUACAUUCCCACCAGCAGUGCGUGAGAAUUCCAGUUCCUCCACAUCCUCACCAACACUUAGUGUGUUCAGUCUUCUUCAUUUUGGCCAUUCUGGUAUAUGUAUAGUGGUGUCUCACUGUAACAUCUCAUUCCCUAGGGAAUCUUUUUUUUUUUUUUUUUUUUUUUUUUGAGACAGAGUUUUGUUCUUGUUGCCCUGGCUGGAGUGCAAUGGCGCAAUCUUGGCUCAUUGCAACCUCCGCCUCCUAGGUUCAAGUGAUUCUCCUGCCUCAGCCUCCCGAGUAGCUGGGAUUAUAGGCAUGCAGCAUUACACCAGGCUAAUUUCUGUAUUAUUAUUAUUAUUAUUUUGAGAUGGAGUCUCACUCUGUUACCCAGGUUAGAGCGCAGUGGCGUGAUCUCAGCUCACUGCAACCUCUGCCUUAUGAGUUCAAGUGAUUCUCCUGCCUCAGCCUCCCAAGUAGCUGGGAUUACAGGCACCUGCCACUGCGCACAGCUAAUUUUUGUAUUUUUAGUAGAGACAGGGUUUCACCAUCUUGGCCAGGCUGGUCUCGAACUCCUGACCUCGUGAUCCACCUGCCUCGGCCUUCCAAAGUUCUGGGAUUACAGGCGUGAACCACUUCGCCCAGCCAAUUUUUGUAUUUUUAGUAGAGACAGGGUUUCACCAUGUUGGAUGGGCUGGUCUCAAACUCCUGACCUUGUGAUCCUCCCGCAUCGGCCUCCCAAAGUGCUGGGCUUACAGGUGUGAGCCACUGUGCCCGCCCAGAACUCAUGGUUUUGAACUUCUUUUCAUUUUCGUCAUCUGUAUAUCUUAUUUGGUGAAAAGUUUAUUCAAAUUUUUUGCCCAUUAAAAAUAAAAAAAGAAUGGGUUGUUAUUGUUUACUAUAAGAGUUUUUUUAAUAUUCUAGAUCAUGUAUUUUCUUCUUCUUCUUCUUUUUUUUUUUGACAAGGUCUCAUUCUGUUGCCCGGGCUGGAGUGCAGUGGCUCAUUGCAGCCUCGACCUCCAGGGCUCGGGUGAACUUCCCACCACAGCCUUCUGGGUAGCUGGGACCACAGGCAUGCACCACCACACCCGGCUAGUUUUUUUACUUUUUUGUAGAUAACAGAGUUUCACCAUAUUGUCCAGAUUGGUCUCAAACUCCUGAGCUCAAGUGAUUUGCCUGCCUCUGCCUCUGAAAGCGCUGGGAUUACAACAGGCGUGUACCACUGUGUCUGGCCUGAUCAUGCAUUUUCAAUGAAGGCAAAAUUGCCCCCAAUGGGAAAAAAUUGGUUCUCGUGAAAUGAAAAAAUUGUGCUCUUUAUGUACAAAGCACAAUAAACGCACAAUACAUAAACGGGUACCUGUGUAUUAAAUUUCCAUGGGGGUGAUUAGGAAGGAUUGUCUAAAAAUAUUCCUUGGAUGAGGAAGGGAAUGGAAAAAAGCUGAGAAAGUGUUCGAGAUACAAGUCCUUUGUUGGAUGUAUGCUUUGCAAAAACCAAAAAAUUUUAAUUUGGAUAAAGUCCAAUUUAUCAAUUAUCCCUUUUAUAAUUUGUGCUUUUUGUGUGCUAUUUCAGAAGCCUCUGUCUAACUCAAGGUUACUAAGAUUUUCUGCUGUUUUCCUGUAAAAGUUUCACAGUUUUAACUCUUCCAUUUAGGUCUGUGGUCCAUUUUAUAGACUCCCCCAAAUUUAUUUAUUUAUUUAUUUAUUUUGAGAUGGAGUCUCGCUCUGUCACCCAGUCUGGAGUGUAGUGGUGUGAUCUUGGCUCACUGCAAGCUCUACCUCCUGGGUUCA